rnacentral:rRNA from 1 species
UUAAGUUAACAAGGGCGCAUGGUGAAUGCCUUGGCACUAGGAGCCGAUGAAGGACGGGACUAACACCGAUAUGCUUCGGGGAGCUGUACGUAAGCUAUGAUCCGGAGAUUUCCGAAUGGGGCAACCCAGCAGUUUUAAUCAACUGUUACCACUAGAUGAAUUCAUAGUCUAGUUGGAGGUAAACGCUGUGAACUGAAACAUCUCAUUAGCAGCAGGAAUAUAAAGAAAUUUCGAUUCCCUAAGUAGCGGCGAGCGAACGGGGAACAGCCCAAACCAAAGUGCUUGCACUUUGGGGUUGUAGGACUGAACAUUUGAGUUACCAAAGAACUUGAUAGUCGAAGGAUUUGGGAAAAUCCGCCAUAGAUGGUGAUAGCCCAGUAGAUUAAAUCAAAUUCUCUCAGUUCAGGAUCCUGAGUACGGCGGAACACGUGAAAUUCCGUCGGAAUCCGGGAGGACCAUCUCCCAAGGCUAAAUACUACCUAGUGACCGAUAGUGAACCAGUACCGUGAGGGAAAGGUGAAAAGCACCCCGGGAGGGGAGUGAAAUAGUUCCUGAAACCAUGUGCCUACAAUAAGUCAGAGCGCGUUAAUGCGUGAUGGCGUGCCUUUUGUAGAAUGAACCGGCGAGUUAUGAUCCCGUGCAAGGUUAAGACUAAAAAGUCGGAGCCGUAGCGAAAGCGAGUCUGAAAUGGGCGAUUUGAGUACGAGGUUAUAGACCCGAAACCAGGUGACCUAUCCAUGUCCAGGUUGAAGGUGCGGUAAAACGCACUGGAGGACCGAACCCGUGUAAGUUGAAAAUUGCUGGGAUGAGGUGUGGAUAGCGGUGAAAUUCCAAACGAACUUGGAGAUAGCUGGUUCUCUCCGAAAUAGCUUUAGGGCUAGCCUCGGAUUAAGGAUCAUGGAGGUAGAGCACUAUUUGGACUAGGGGCCCGUCUUGGGUUACUGAAUUCAGAUAAACUCCGAAUGCCAUUGAUUCAUGUCCGGGAGUCAGACGAUGAGUGAUAAGAUCCACCGUCGAAAGGGGAACAGCCCAGACCAUCAGUUAAGGUCCCUAAAUGUAUGCUAAGUGGAAAAGGAUGUGGAGUUGCAUAGACAACUAGGAUGUUGGCUCAGAAGCAGCCACCAUUUAAAGAGUGCGUAAUAGCUCACUAGUCGAGUGAUCCUGCGCCGAAAAUGUACCGGGGCUAAGCAUACUACCGAAACCAUGGAUGCGACCAUUAGGUCGCGUGAUAGGAGAGCGUUCUAAGGGCGGUGAAGCAAGAUCGUGAGGACUUGUGGAGCGCUUAGAAGUGAGAAUGCCGGUAUGAGUAGCGAAAGAUAGGUGAGAAUCCUAUCCACCGAAUGACUAAGGUUUCCUGGGGAAGGCUCGUCCUCCCAGGGUUAGUCGGGACCUAAGUCGAGGCCGAGAGGCGUAGACGAUGGAUAACAGGUUGAGAUUCCUGUACUAGUUAAGUGCGUUUGAGCAAUGGAGGGACGCAGGAGGCUAAGAUGUGCAUUCUGUUGGAUUAGAAUGUCCAAGCAGUAAGUCUUGUGGAGAGUCAAAUGCUUUUCACUUUAAGGACAAGCUGUGAUGGGGAGCGAAAUUUAGUAGCGAAGCGUCUGAUGUCACACUGCCGAGAAAAGCUUCUAGUGAGUACUUAACUACCCGUACCGCAAACCGACACAGGUAGUCGAGGAGAGAAUCCUAAGGUGAGCGAGAGAACUCUCGUUAAGGAACUCGGCAAAAUGACCCCGUAACUUCGGGAGAAGGGGUGCUGAUCAUACGAUCAGCCGCAGUGAAUAGGCCCAAGCGACUGUUUAUCAAAAACACAGGUCUCUGCAAAAUCGUAAGAUGAAGUAUAGGGGCUGACGCCUGCCCGGUGCUGGAAGGUUAAGAGGAGUGCUUAGCGCAAGCGAAGGUACGAAUUGAAGCCCCAGUAAACGGCGGCCGUAACUAUAACGGUCCUAAGGUAGCGAAAUUCCUUGUCGGGUAAGUUCCG